GAUGAACGCUGGCGGCGUGCCUAAUACAUGCAAGUCGAGCGAAUGGAUUAAGAGCUUGCUCUUAUGAAGUUAGCGGCGGACGGGUGAGUAACACGUGGGUAACCUGCCCAUAAGACUGGGAUAACUCCGGGAAACCGGGGCUAAUACCGGAUAACAUUUUGAACCGCAUGGUUCGAAAUUGAAAGGCGGCUUCGGCUGUCACUUAUGGAUGGACCCGCGUCGCAUUAGCUAGUUGGUGAGGUAACGGCUCACCAAGGCAACGAUGCGUAGCCGACCUGAGAGGGUGAUCGGCCACACUGGGACUGUGACACGGCCCAGACUCCUACGAGAGGCAGCAGUAGGGAAUCUUCCGCAAUGGACGAAAGUCUGACGGAGCAACGCCGCGUGAGUGAUGAAGGCUUUCGGGUCGUAAAACUCUGUUGUUAGGGAAGAACAAGUGCUAGUUGAAUAAGCUGGCACCUUGACGGUACCUAACCAGAAAGCCACGGCUAACUACGUGCCAGCCGCCGCUGUAA
rnacentral:rRNA from 1 species